rnacentral:rRNA from 1 species
GAAUAGGGCGGUACCUUGACGGUACCUAACCAGAAAGCCACGGCUAACUACGUGCCAGCAGCCGCGGUAAUACGUAGGUGGCAAGCGUUGUCCGGAAUUAUUGGGCGUAAAGGGCUCGCAGGCGGUUUCUUAAGUCUGAUGUGAAAGCCCCCGGCUCAACCGGGGAGGGUCAUUGGAAACUGGGGAACUUGAGUGCAGAAGAGGAGAGUGGAAUUCCACGUGUAGCGGUGAAAUGCGUAGAGAUGUGGAGGAACACCAGUGGCGAAGGCGACUCUCUGGUCUGUAACUGACGCUGAGGAGCGAAAGCGUGGGGAGCGAACAGGAUUAGAUACCCUGGUAGUCCACGCCGUAAACGAUGAGUGCUAAGUGUUAGGGGGUUUCCGCCCCUUAGUGCUGCAGCUAACGCAUUAAGCACUCCGCCUGGGGAGUACGGUCGCAAGACUGAAACUCAAAGGAAUUGACGGGGGCCCGCACAAGCGGUGGAGCAUGUGGUUUAAUUCGAAGCAACGCGAAGAACCUUACCAGGUCUUGACAUCCUCUGACAAUCCUAGAGAUAGGACGUCCCCUUCGGGGGCAGAGUGACAGGUGGUGCAUG